rnacentral:tRNA from 1 species
GGGCGGGUGGCGGAAUCUGGCAGACGCGCAUGACUUAGGAUCAUGUGCCAUUCGGCGUGCGGGUUCAAUUCCCGCCCCGCCCACCA